CUCAUAAUAAUAUUGAACUUCUCAAUCCAUCUUGUUUCAUAGCUGCUAACUCAGAGAGAAAUAAUUCCCUCUGAAAUCCCAAAUUAGGGUAUUUGAACCCAAAAGGGAAUAAACUGCGUAGAACCUAUUUCCUCUAUUCAAUGGUUGCACCUACUAAUUUCAAUGGUUGCACCUACUAAUUUUUGCAACCAAUUUCUGUCUGUUUCAUGUGUACAUACUGAGUUUUCUCACUCUAGGUUGUAAUUUCUCUCUAGCAUUUUCUGUUGGACCUGUUUCGUUUUUUCAAGGUUCCGUGGUUUUCUCUUACUUUUAACUCAUGCUAUGCAGUACAGAUAUAGAGAUAGACCUAAUAUUUGUUCUUAAUGAUGGGAUUAUGACUUGAUUUCUCUCUAGCGCUUUCAUCCCUGCUCCUGCUUUUCUCUCUCUCUUGUACAUUAGAUAUAGGAAUAAACUGCAGAUCUAGAGAGAGAGGAAUCAAUAUAAUUAAUUCUGAAAUUGUAUAAAUUGGGUGUUGGUUUGCAAAUUAUUUUUGAAGGCUUCCUUACCAGUGUUCCUAAGUGCUCUAUAUAGACGAGAAGAAUUUAAAGAUAAUGGAUGAAUGGGUGUAUAUUAACAAGCUCCUGUACUGUUUUUGUAUUUUUCUUGGUACUCCAAGCGCCUUCCAAAACUUCUAAUCUCUAAAUUUUUAUUAUUCUAGUUUGAUCCGCAUUCUAUUGUAAUUUUCUCUUCGUGAUUUUCUUCCCAAUAUAUAUUAAGCAAUUUGUUUAUUUUUUAUGAUUCCCAAUCUUGCCCAUGUUGAGAACUUACCAGUUCUUUGUGUUCAAUGUCCUUUAUGACUCUUUAUUUCUUAAACUCAGAUGUCAAAACCUUCCUGGUGUUCCAUGAUUAUUGCAUACUAACCUUGACAUGUAAGUUUCAAUUUUUUUUUUUUUUUUCUGACAUUGACUGCUAAUUCUAAUAAGCCAUUUGUGUUUCUCUGUAGUUUUUCUCUGUACUUCCUUUCUCUCAAGGAGUACCUCACAGCUCUCUACUUUUGUAAUGCCUCUAGCAAAUUUUAUUAAUGGACAUCCUAUCUUUAAAUUUUGGUUUCAUUCUAUCUUCAAAUUUAAAGAUAAUAGAUGAAUGGGUGUAUAUUACUGACAAUUGAGUGUUUCAAUGAUUUAUUUGUUUAAAUUUGAUGAGAGAGAGGAUGGGGGAACCACAAUUUUGGUUUGGGUUGCUUUGGUUUCAUUCUAUCUUCAAAUUUAGAAAAUUUUCUGAACAUGGAAUUGAUUGGGUUGAUGAUUGUUUGAUGGAGUUAGUCGACCUCUGUUGUAUGAGAUGUCAUUGAUGUGUUCUUGACAUAGGUUAUUGAGCUAAACAUUUAUGGAUUCCUUGCAUGAGUUAUAAGCAAGUUAUUUUUCAUUAUUGUUUAUGUGCAGAUUUCUCCAUAAACGUGUGACAGCUUUGAGUUCAUUCUAUUGACUAUUUGCUUUGGUAUUUGUUCCCUUUUAAAAUUGUGCGUGUUUGAACUUCGAUAUAUGUGAACUUCUAUAGCGUCCAUUUUACAUAAUGUCAAGAUUGUGUGAUAAUUUGACAAGUGUUAAGAGGGUACCAUUCAGUCCGGAGAUGUCAGAGCAACCCCCUAUCUCUCAAGAUCCAACCAAGGCAAACCAAGGCAAAUUGGAGUGCAACUCGCGAUGAAUUCAUUGUUGAACAAUUGAAAAUAUUAAUUUUGCUGGGAAACGGUCUGAUAUUGGAUGGAAGAAAGAGGAUUGAAGGUCUGUCUUGGAUGCAUUUAAUAAAAAUUUUGAUCAAAAUAUCGUACAAUAAUUGAAAACUCACUGGGCUACAGCACUCAAUAUUUUAUUGCGAAGGAUCUUAUUAACCAAAGUGGUUUCAGUUGGGAUGACCAUGCCCAUGUUGUAACUGCUUCGAAUGGUGUGUGGGAUCGAUAUCUUCAAGUAAAUUUUUAGUGUUGAUUAUUCAAUUCUUUAUUUUUCUUUGGUUGUUGUAGGAAUAUAUCUAUGCAAGAUGUUUGGAAAACUCACAUAUCUAAGCAAACAGGCCCAUCUUAAAACAAAACCAUAUAGAAAUGUGAGCUUUUCCCUUUAUGAUCAACUUACCAUACUAGUAGAAGGUAAACAUGUCACAGGGAAAGGGUAUUUAUCGACUGUUUGUCAAGAUACAUUAGAAGAUGACACAAGUGAACAUGAAAUUGAGCAAAGUCCAUAAGCAGACCCACAUUAUAAUGCAAAUGAGAAUGAUUUGAGCUCUUCAGAUGUCAGAUGAUAUGCUUAUGGACACCCUUGAAAGGAACAAAUGUCAAGCUGGUGUGUAAUUAAUUCCACAACAACUGUUGAGAAUUUAGUCAGGACAGACAUGUCAACCUCACAAAUAUUGCAAAGUCCUACAGAAAAUGAAGAGUUUUCAUAUGAGAAGUUUUUGAUAGAAUUGUAGCAGUUGGAAGGCUUAUAAUCAAAGUGAGCGUGUGUAAGCAAUAGAUUUACUUGUUAAUGAAAAAGUGGCCAUCGCAUUUAUGACUCUCGAAGGAAAACUUCGUUUGGAUUGGUUGCGUUCUAAAUGUUACAUUGUAGAGUAGAUAUCCAUUUUGUAAUUUUAAAUUUAUUUUGUGUGGGGGGACUCUUAAUUAGCGACUUGAAGAACUUCCUAAUCUAUGUAUGACUUUUGGACUUGAGUUUUUUGAGUAACAUGUGUGAAAUGUUUGUUGAUU